AACGAACGCUGGCGGCAUGCCUAACACAUGCAAGUCGAACGAGACCUUCGGGUCUAGUGGCGCACGGGUGCGUAACGCGUGGGAACCUGCCCUUAGGUUCGGAAUACCUCCCCGAAAGGGGUGCUAAUACCGGAUAAUGUCUUCGGACCAAAGAUUUAUCGCUUUUGGAUGGGCCCGCGUUGGAUUAGCUAGUUGGUAGGGUAAAAGCCUACCAAGGAGACGUUCCAUAGCUGGUCGGAGAGGAUGAUCAGCCACACUGGGACUGAGACACGGCCCAGACUCCUACGGGAGGCAGCAGUGGGGAAUAUUGGACAAUGGGCGAAAGCCUGAUCCAGCAAUGCCGCGUGAGUGAUGAAGGCGUUAGGGUUGUAAAGCUCUUUUACCCGGGAUGAUAAUGACAGUACCGGGAGAAUAAGCUCCGGCUAACUCCGUG
rnacentral:rRNA from 1 species